rnacentral:lncRNA from 1 species
CUCACAAGGCUUGCCAGACCCCUGCCUCCUGUCUUGAUGUCUAAUAGGUCAAUCUUUCAAGAACACUUGUGGGGAGACCUGUGUCCUGGUCUGGAUCGGAGAUGUGAUGUAUUAACUUUCAGAGUCCCCCUUCACCCUGGCCUAUUUGGGUGUAUUUGGUAGCUGUUCUUCUAAUUUUGCAUUUUGGGAUUAUGACCAUUACUUUGCUUCACUGACAAUGGAGACUUUGUAAGAUCUCUUUUUUGUUCUUUUUUAAAAAUAAUUUUCCUGUAGGUUUCAAGGCUAGUGAGGGAAGUCUUUCCUGCCAGGAGAUGUUCAUUGAAGUGCAGACUGCUCGGAGCCACACCGCAGGCUGGCAGAGGAAGUGUCUCGGUGUUGCCUUGGCCCGUUCACUCCCUGUCAGGCCAGUAGAGGAGCUGAGGAGUCUUCGCCAUGGUUUGAGAAAAAGGUCUGGAGCCCCAUGCUGUUCUCAGAUCACCAGGACACCUGGAGAUGGCAGAGUCUCAGCAUUCUAACCACAGCACAGCCCCCACCGAAUGAGGGGCCUGGUCUACAGAGCUCCUCAAACUCCACUUUCUCCAUCUCCCUGUUGCCUUCCCUCUCCCAUGUCCCCAGUGUCACACAGUUGAAUCUCACUUGUUUUGAACUUACUGGGAAGGAGUAACACUUUGCACUCACCUUUUGCCCUACCCUUGAAGCUUCUUUCAGCUUACAGAGGCCUGAGGCUGGAGGCAGGGGGAUCAGUGAGGAGGCUGCAGCAUCAGUCCAGGUGAGGGAUGAUGGAGGCCUGAGUGUAAGCAUGGAGGUGGGGGUGACAUGAUGGAGGCCUGAGUGUGAACAUGGAGGUGGGGCUGACAUGAUGGAGGCUUGAGUGUGAGCAUGGAGGUGGGGGUGAGAUGAUGGAGGCCUGAGUGUGAGCAUGGAGGUAGGGGUGACAUGAUGGAGGCCUGAGUGUGAGCAUGGAGGUGGGGCUGACAUGAUGGAGGCCUGAGUGUGAGCGUGGUGGUGGGGCUGACAUGAUGGAGGCCUGAGUGUGAGCAUGGAG